UUUGGAUUUGUUUGGGAUUACACUUUAUACAUAUGUAUGUAUAUAUUUAUGCUUUAUUCAAAGUUUUUAGAUUAUCAAAGCACCAUCCUGAAGAAUACCCCAAAAUGGACCAACAGCUCUGCCUGAGUUGGAGCCACAAGCAGUCCGAAUUGGCCGGCGUGUUCGAUAAUCUGCUGGAGAACGAAUUCCUGACCGACUGCACCCUCGGUUUUUAGUCCUUACUUUGCCGCCCUGCUGCAGGAGCAGUACGACAAGCACCCCAUUUUCAUACUCAAGGAUGUCAAGUACCAGGAACUGCGCCCCACUAUUAUAAUUCGAUUUGAAGCUAUGUUGAUUUUCCGCCGUUUCCGUUCGUACUUAUACAUAUCUAUCUAUAUCUACCUAAUAUAAAAAAAAAAUGAAAAGGGGAAAGUUGUUAGCAUUAGAACUGAAAAAAUAAUAGAAAAUAGAUGGACAAGACUAGAUCGAAACUAAAAGUACUCCAUAUCAAUAACAGAACUAUAUUUCUAAUGAUAAAAUAAGAA